UUUGUCGGUGGUUCAUAGCGGCAGGGAAACGCCCGGUACCCAUUCCGAACCCGGAAGCUAAGCCUGCGUCGCGCUGAUGGUACUGCACUCGGGAGGGUGUGGGAGAGUAAGUUACCGCCGACAC
rnacentral:rRNA from 1 species